UGACCUCGGAUCAGGUAGGGAUACCCGCUGAACUUAAGCAUAUCAAUAAGAGGGAGGAA
rnacentral:rRNA from 1 species